GAUGAACGCUGGCGGCGUGCCUAAUACAUGCAAGUCGAGCGAACAGACGAGGAGCUUGCUCCUCUGACGUUAGCGGCGGACGGGUGAGUAACACGUGGAUAACCUACCUAUAAGACUGGGAUAACUUCGGGAAACCGGAGCUAAUACCGGAUAAUAUAUUGAACCGCAUGGUUCAAUAGUGAAAGACGGUUUUGCUGUCACUUAUAGAUGGAUCCGCGCCGCAUUAGCUAGUUGGUAAGGUAACGGCUUACCAAGGCAACGAUGCGUAGCCGACCUGAGAGGGUGGUCGGCCACACUGGAACUGAGACGCGGUCCAGAAUCCUACGGGAGGCAGCAGUAGGGAAUCUUACGCAAUGGGCGAAAGCUUGACGGAGCAACGACGCGUGAGUGAAGAAGGUCUUCGGAUCGUAAAACUCUGUUAUUAGGGGAGAACAAAUGUGUAAGUAACUAUGCACGUCUUGACGGUACCUAAUCAGAAAGCCACGGCUAACUACGUG
rnacentral:rRNA from 1 species